CUGUUGUUGCUAGCAAACCGUUGUGGUAGUGUCUUUGGCAAUCUCCAAUUUCCCGUUACUGCGUCUCUGCUGAUCAUGCACGCAUAGAGCAAACCAAAUGGAGGGUCCGAGUCCUAGUGCCACAGAACCCGGUUCCCAGGACUCCCACAACGCCUUUGUUUGGGACGAAAGCUCUCAGCUUUAUUUCCAUGCCGGUAGCGGAUUUUACCAUGACCCGAACGCUGGUUGGUACUAUAGCACUCGGGACGGUCUUUACUACAAAUUCGAAGAUGGAAACUACGUGCUUCUUCCCUCUCACCAGGCUGAUAAUUUGGAAACAUGUGAAACCCAAGUGACUGCUUCUGAGAAUCCCAUUCAAAGAGAGCUUUUUGCACAUGAAAGUGAACGCAUAGAAAUUGUUCCUCAGGAACCCAUUGGAAUUUCAGGCACCACAGAGUGCUGCAGUAGCAGUGAUGUACCUGAAAAUCCCCCUCCCACCUCAGAAUGGUUAGAAGAUACGCUUAUUGAUCUUUAUUUGUCUGGUUAUUCCAACUUAGAAGCCAAUGCUGCUGAUGAUAUGACAGUGUUCCCCGAAACAGAUGUUGAGUUUGGAUCCAAUGGGAACAAUGAUAGUUACGAGCUCAAUGAAGGCAAAUUGAUUCCGGAUGACCAUGAUGCUGCAAUUAAAUCAAGUGAAAAUGUUAAUGAUGAAGGUGCUUCAUUGGAUGAAGAGAACUGGCGAGCUCAAUAUGGUCAGGUCAUUCAAUCUGAAGAAGUUUCAAUCCCGGAGUCCUCACUUGUAAGUUUAUGGGACUGGGAAAUGAUCACAAAGCCCAGAAAGGAUGGAAAAGGUGAGGUAGCAAGGCUUGUUGGGAGAUUAGUGAGGCAGUCUGCUAAGCUUCAUCCAUCUAUGCCUUCUGGUGGUGGUCUUCUAAAAACUGCUCCAAUAUGUGAAGUACAUCUUGAUCUGGUACGAGUUAUAACAGGACAAGUCUAUACGUUGCAGAGCCCCAGUAUACGAUACUUAUGAUUCUUCCAACCCAACCAAAGAUUGGGGCUUCCCUGAAUUAUCAGUCAACACACAAAUUCUGCCCCUCUCUAAAUCCAGUGUAAACAGUGAAUCAAUAACUGCAGAAAGAGUGGCAGUUAGCAAGGAUUCAUCUUUGUUGCCAGGCCAAAUAUAUGAAAAGCAUGAAAGCUAUACAUAUAGGGAUAGAGCUGCUGAUAGAAGAGCCUUGCAUGGUGGUUUCGGUGUGGGUCCAGGACAAAAGAAUUCACUAAUUGGUGAUAGUGAUUCGCCGCCAGGCUCUACAGAAGAAGCUGCAGCAGAGGCCUUGAACAUGUCAUUUGGAGUUGGUAGUUAUGCCAGAAAACUUUUAGAAAACAUGGGCUGGAAGGAGGGAGAGGCACUUGGCAAAAGUACGAAGGGAUUAGUUGAACCUAUUCAAGCACACAGCAACAUUGGCAAUGCUGGAUUAGGGUGGCCUCAGGGAAGAUUUAAGCAUCCCUGAAUUAGAGUGGUCUCAGGGAAGACUUAAACAUUGAUAAUGCUGCGUGUAUAUAUGUACGGUGGAACAAAGGCAUGAUGAUUUGAGCAUGUGGAUUUUGUGCAUAACAUGGCUCUCAACCUUUCAAGAUUUUGUGCAAACAGCAUUCUGUAUAUUCAUUAUGAAA